CAGUCGCCACGGUAAUACGAAGGGGGCUAGCGUUGUUCGGAAUUACUGGGCGUAAAGCGCAUGUAGGCGGAUAUUUAAGUCAGGGGUGAAAUCCUAGAGCUCAACUCUGGAACUGCCUUUGAUACUGGGUAUCUUGAGUAUGGAAGAGGUGAAUGGAAUUCCGAGUGUAGAGGUGAAAUUCGUAGAUACUCGGAGGAACACCAGUGGCGAAGGCGGCUCACUGGUCCAUUACUGACGCUGAGGUGCGAAAGCGUGGGGAGCAAACAGGAUUAGAUACCCCAGUAGUCCCUGUCUCUUAUAC
rnacentral:rRNA from 1 species